UGGCUAAUUGGGAUCUUUUUGAUGAUUAGGACAGAAAAAUCUGUUUGCAAGCAUUCUUGCUGUAAUUAGUCUGAACAGUGCAUGAUAUCCUAUCUCAGACAGUAGCCAGUAACAGACUCAUGAGGAAUAGCAAAGGAUGGGGAAGCCCUUUGUGUUACUUGCCUAGGACACUCUCCCAGUCUUUAGCAGUUGCUGGUUCACAGAUUUUCUGAGCCAAGGUCUGUAAGUUUUUGGUGCAUGAACCUCUAUAAAUUUUAGCAUCCAUUACAUGCAGAAAGGCAUCCACAGCUUUAUUAGGUGUUCUACAAAGACAAUGUCCAAGCACUGGACAAAAGUACCUUCUGGUUAGAGAUUUCCAGAACUGUAAUUAAUGCUUCUCCCAGGAUGUAUUCAGAUGGAUAUCAGCAUAGUUAAGUGGAAGAGGCAUUCAUCUUAGGCUCACUAUGCAAUUUAUCAUGGAUUAAUGAGUUUACUGUAUCAGCUUAGUCACAGUAACUGUGUGGUUUUAGCCAGCAGCAAAAACAUGCUGGUGCUACUUAAUGUAUGUUGGGCUGUGGCUGUAAUUGCAUUUGCCACAAGUUCUGGGUGUUUGCAUGGCCCAGUGUCAUGGAUCAGCUGACGUGAGAACUGGUAUUUGCCUUCUCAGCUUGAUGAGUUGGAGCCCUUACAGAAUUUAGUUCCAAGCAUUCUUGUAAUGAGAAGUCAGGAUUGGUAUUCAUGUCUAGUAAGCCAAGCCAAUGCACUCACAGUUGUACUGCAAUAACUUCUCUAGAACAUUCUCAGUAUCCUGAUAAGGGAAACACCCAGUCUUUUUCCAUUUUGUGGAAGGUUGUGAAGCAUGUGUUUAAAGUGCAAAAUCUUGGCCAAAACUGGUUAGAAAAAGAAAAGUUGAGUUGUGCUAGCAGAUAUUUUGAAUUUACAUGUUUAUCUGUUGGUGUGUUGGGAUCAUCUGCUUUGAAGGCUGCUUUCAUUCUUGCCUCUGACUGUCCUGGCUGAAUAAUUAGAGUUACCUGUAGCGUGUGGAUGGAAUACCCAAGGUAAAAGUCCAUAACUGAUUAUGUGCUUUAGUUCUUUCUGUACAUUGGCUUAGCUAAUCAGAAAUUAUCUGGCUGAAUCAGUGUUUAAUUCUGACAUUUUGGCAAUGAAACAGUUGAAAUACUUUCAUUCUCUCUUUCAGGCAUUCAUAGCACAUGUUGUCUUUUUGGUUUUUUUGCUUUCAUCCACAACAAAUGUUUGUGUUUUUUUCGUUUUGGUUCACUACAAAUGUUUGGCUUCCUCAUGUUUGAUUUCUCUUUCCUGGUCUCCUGAAGUGCUGUCACAGAAAUUUGUUUUUCCGAUUGGGUCUUGCUGUUACAUCUUAAUCUGCAUCACUUUCUCUGCUGUAUAUGGCCUUGUGCUUUUUAAAAUUUUUUUUUUUCAUCCUUUUAUUCCUGUCCUCAGUGAUUUCUUGAGUUUGUUAGUAUGAUGUCUUAGAAUUGUUUUUGUCUUCAAGGGCUGAAUAAUUGAUGCUUCUAAUGGACCAUCCCAAAACACUUUGCUGUCAAAAGUGCCAAUAUUGGCUUGCCAAAUGGCCUUUCUUAUGUGAUAUUCUGCAGUGUUCCAGAUAAUCUGGAAAAAACAUUAUGCUAUACAUCUUCCUCUGCCUUGUGUAAGCCUCAGCACAGCUGUUGCUCAAAUGUCAGCCUGGAUUCCCUCUUCUGCUCUGCUGUGCAUUCUGGCUCUGUGCAUCUGUCUCAGCAGAGCGACAUGUGUUGGUUCAUUAGCGUGACUUCCAAGUUCCAGAGCCUCAUUUUCCUCUGGGCUGGAAGAGAUUCAUGUUUAGAUAACAGUAAUAUAAGGAUAUUGUUCUUGGCCAGGUGGCAACCAAGCUAAACAUAGCCUUAUAAAGGUCUCAGGUAGUGCCCACUCUGAAUGCAGCCACCAUGGAGCCGAUGGCAGCAAUUCCCUGUUGGAUGAGGGAAGGCAGUGGGGGCUGUGUCUCACUGUUGUCAUUUAUUAUUCUUGUAAAUGCUUCUACUUAGGAAAAGCUUUUAUCAUAGUAAAUAUGUGUUCUAAAAUGUAUUGGGCCUAGGACUUGAGGUGUUAGUGUAAAAAGAUGUAUAUUUUUAUCCUGUGAUAAUAUGGCAUUGUUUAUUUUCCCAGUGCCUCCUAUUACUGUGCUUAUAUCAUUGCAACUCUUAUAGAAAUUCUUCUCCAAACCCUUCUAUACAAGAUUCCUUUCCCUACUUGUAUAUCCCCUGCUCCACUUGUAGCAGUAAGCAGUCUGAGCUCUUAAGAGGUAGUAGUUGAUGAAUUUUUGAUGAAUUAUUUUAAUAGUCUUUUCUAAGAAGGAAGGCAUGGAAGCGUGUCAUUAUGUUGUUGUUCAGAAUUAAUUUCAAUCUUCCUCACAGCUUGCUUUGUAUACUAUGUACUUAUAAUUUUGAUGGACCAAAAUACUGGUCCUCAUAAGUAAUAAGGAAUUUUUUUGCUAAGAAAAUGAAGAUGAUAUUAAGAAAUAAGAUUUACUCCUAAAAGUUUUUUUUUUUCCUGAGGCUUUUGACCCUGGCACCUACCUGGGAGGUUGGUAGCUGUGAACUGAAAAUGAAAGAUCCUGCUUUCUGUAAAUUGUGGCAUUCAGUAGAUACAUGUAGCAAAGAAUUACUAGCCAUAAGCAUAGAACAUGCUUAUUCAAAAUAAUAACACAACUGCAUCCUUCUGCCAGUGCUGUUAAUCUGCCAAUUUUAUAACAAUUCCUAUGAGAAGAUACAAAUCAUAGGACAUCAGUAUCCUUUUUUCUCAGUCUGUAUUUUAUUCCAUAACUCUCUGUUCUCUCCUGGAGUGCAAAUAUGUCCAUAUCCCUCUUCCCAGUACCAGUUUCAAGAACUAGGUGCACAUCUUGCUCUCUUUCAAUGUGAAAUUAGUGUAGUGGCCGGAAUCUUUCUAGAGCAUAAAUACCAAAGUGACUUGAAGGAGGAAGGCAGAAGGAUGUAACAGAACUUCAGGUACCAAAGAGAA